rnacentral:tRNA from 1 species
GGGGAGGUCGCAUAGCCCGGUCUAGUGCGCCCGCCUGCUAAGUGGGUAUACCCGUAAGGGUAUCGCGGGUUCAAAUCCCGCCCUCCCCGCCA